CCCUUAGAUGUCCUGGGCUGCACGCGCGCUACACUGAUGUGUCCAGUAAGCACCUAACCUCUUCCGAAAGGAACGGGUAACCUUUGCAAAGCACAUCGUGAUGGGGAUAGAUUAUUGCAAUUAUUAGUCUUGAACGAGGAAUUCCUAGUAAGCACAAGUCAUCAGCUUGUGUUGAUUACGUCCCUGCCCUUUGUACACACCGCCCGUCGCUCCUACCGAUUGAUUGUUCCGGUGAGCUCUUCGGACUGCGCGGUCUGCAGUUUCUGCGUUCCGUGCGGAAAGUUGCGCAAACCUUAACAUUUAGAGGAAGGAGAGGUCGUAACA
rnacentral:rRNA from 1 species